rnacentral:rRNA from 1 species
AAAACCCCGCAAGGGGUUAGUAGAGUGGCAAACGGGUGAGUAACGCGUGGGCGACCUACCUUCGAGUGGGGGAUAACCUUCCGAAAGGAGGGCUAAUACCGCAUGACAUCCCGUGUUUGGAUACACGGACAUCAAAGUCGGGGAUCGUAAGACCUGACGCUUGGAGAGGGGCCCGCGUCCGAUUAGCUAGUUGGUGAGGUAACGGCUCACCAAGGCUCCGAUCGGUAUCCGGCCUGAGAGGGCGGACGGACACACUGGAACUGAGACACGGUCCAGACUCCUACGGGAGGCAGCAGUGGGGAAUUGUUCGCAAUGGGCGCAAGCCUGACGACGCAACGCCGCGUGGAGGAUGAAGACUUUCGGGUCGUAAACUCCUUUCGACCGAGAUGAAUUUCCGUCGGCCUAACAUGCCGGCGGGGUGACAGUAUCGAGGGAAGAAGCCCCGGCUAACUCCGUGCCAGCAGCCGCGGUAAUACGGGGGGGGCAAGCGUUGUUCGGAAUUACUGGGCGUAAAGGGUCUGUAGGUGGCUUGCUAAGUCAGACGUGAAAUCCCUCAGCUUAACUGGGGAACUGCGUCUGAGACUGGCGAGCUUGAGUGCAGGAGAGGAACGCGGAAUUCCAGGUGUAGCGGUGAAAUGCGUAGAUAUCUGGAGGAACACCGGUGGCGAAGGCGGCGUUCUGGACUGCAACUGACACUGAGAGACGAAAGCCAGGGGAGCAAACGGGAUUAGAUACCCCGGUAGUCCUGGCCCUAAACGAUGAAUGCUUGGUGUGGCGGGUAUCGAUCCCUGCCGU